rnacentral:rRNA from 1 species
AUUGAACGCUGGCGGCAUGCCUUACACAUGCAAGUCGAACGGCAGCGGGGACUUCGGUCCGCCGGCGAGUGGCGAACGGGUGAGUAAUGUAUCGGAACGUACCAUUCAGUGGGGGAUAACUAUCCGAAAGGAUAGCUAAUACCGCAUAUUCUGUGAGCAGGAAAGCAGGGGAUCGCAAGACCUUGCGCUGAUUGAGCGGCCGAUAUCAGAUUAGCUAGUUGGUGAGGUAACGGCUCACCAAGGCUACGAUCUGUAGCGGGUCUGAGAGGAUGAUCUGCCACACUGGGACUGAGACACGGCCCAGACUCCUACGGGAGGCAGCAGUGGGGAAUUUUGGACAAUGGGCGCAAGCCUGAUCCAGCCAUGCCGCGUGAGUGAAGAAGGCCUUCGGGUUGUAAAGCUCUUUCGGCCGGGAAGAAAUCGCAUCAGCUAAUACCUGGUGUGGAUGACGGUACCGGAAUAAGAAGCACCGGCUAACUACGUGCCAGCAGCCGCCGUAAAAC